GCACCCGUAGCUCAGUUGGAUAGAGCGGCCCCCUCCUAAGGGGCAGGCCACAGGUUCGACUCCUGUCGGGUGCACCA
rnacentral:tRNA from 1 species